rnacentral:snRNA from 1 species
AGUUCGACUUCGGCAAGGAGUAG